rnacentral:rRNA from 1 species
CCAGACUCCUACGGGAGGCAGCAGUGAGGAAUAUUGGUCAAUGGGCGGGAGCCUGAACCAGCCAAGUCGCGUGAGGGAAGACGGUCCUACGGAUUGUAAACCUCUUUUGCCGGGGAGCAACGGGGUCCUUGCGAGGGCCCAAUGAGAGUACCCGGAGAAAAAGCAUCGGCUAACUCCGUGCCAGCAGCCGCGGUAAUACGGAGGAUGCGAGCGUUAUCCGGAUUUAUUGGGUUUAAAGGGUGCGUAGGCGGGCUGUUAAGUCAGCGGUAAAAUGUCGGGGCUCAACCCCGUCGUGCCGUUGAAACUGGCGUUCUUGAGUGAGCGAGAAGUAUGCGGAAUGCGUGGUGUAGCGGUGAAAUGCAUAGAUAUCGCGCAGAACUCCGAUUGCGAAGGCAGCAUACCGGCUCCAUACUGACGCUGAGGCACGAAAGCGUGGGGAUCGAACAGGAUUAGAUACCCGGGUA